rnacentral:rRNA from 1 species
AGUGAACGCUGGCGGUAGGCCUAACACAUGCAAGUCGAACGGCAGCACAGUAAGAGCUUGCUCUUACGGGUGGCGAGUGGCGGACGGGUGAGGAAUACAUCGGAAUCUACUUUUUCGUGGGGGAUAACGUAGGGAAACUUACGCUAAUACCGCAUACGACCUACGGGUGAAAGCAGGGGAUCUUCGGACCUUGCGCGAUUGAAUGAGCCGAUGUCGGAUUAGCUAGUUGGCGGGGUAAAGGCACACCAAGGCGACGAUCCGUAGCUGGUCUGAGAGGAUGAUCAGCCACACUGGAACUGAGACACGGUCCAGACUCCUACGGGAGGCAGCAGUGGGGAAUCUUGGACAAUGGGCGCAAGCCUGAUCCAGCCAUACCGCGUGGGUGAAGAAGGCCUUCGGGUUGUAAAGCCCUUUUGUUGGGAAAGAAAAGCAGCAGGUUAAUACCCCGCUGUUCUGACGGUACCCAAAGAAUAAGCACCGGCUAACUUCGUG